AGAAGAAUAUUUGGUGGAAUUUAUCCAAGAGAAGCAAUAAGGUGACACCAUCUAAAAUUUGAAGGGUAAGAGGAAUGAGGAAAGAAAGAUUAUUCCUCCACAUGUAAUUAAAGGAAAUUGGACUCUGCUAUUUAAAAAACAAGGCAUCCUUGAAAGGGGACGUGGAACCUCUCACUGAAUCACAAAAAAAGAAUGUUCAAGGCUUCAUAUAAUCAUUGUCAUGUGUAUACUUUAUUUUUAGAGAAAUGGAGGCAGUGAAAGAAGAGAUUUA